AGAAUCAACGCUGGCGGCGUGCCUAACACAUGCAAGUCGCACGAGAAAGUGGAGCAAUCCAUGAGUAAAGUGGCGCACGGGUGAGUAACACGUGAAUAAUCUACCUCCGAGUGGGGGAAUAACUGAGAGAAAUCUUAGCUAAUACCGCAUAACACUUACGAGUCAAAGCAGCAAUGCGCUUGGAGAGGAGUUCGCGGCAGAUUAGUUAGUUGGCGGGGUAAUGGCCCACCAAGACGAUGAUCUGUA
rnacentral:rRNA from 1 species